rnacentral:rRNA from 1 species
AGCGUACACGGUGGAUGCCUAGGCAGUCAGAGGCGAUGAAGGGCGUGUUAAUCUGCGAUAAGCGUCGGUAAGGUGAUAUAAACCGUUACAACCGGCGAUACCCGAAUGGGGAAACCCAGUGCAAUUCGUUGCACUAUCAUACGAUGAAUACAUAGUCGUAUGAGGCGAACCGGGGGAACUGAAACAUCUAAGUACCCCGAGGAAAAGAAAUCAACCGAGAUUCCCCCAGUAGCGGCGAGCGAACGGGGAGGAGCCCAGAACCUGAAUCAGUUCUUGUGUUAGUGGAAGCGUCUGGAAAGUCGCACAGCAAAGGGUGAUAGUCCCGUACACUAAAAUGCAUUAAUUGUGAGUUCGAUGAGUAGGGCGGGACACGUGACAUCCUGUCUGAAUAUGGGGGGACCAUCCUCCAAGGCUAAAUACUCCUGACUGACCGAUAGUGAACCAGUACCGUGAGGGAAAGGCGAAAAGAACCCCGGCGAGGGGAGUGAAAUAGAACCUGAAACCGUGUACGUACAAGCAGUGGGAGCCUACUUUGUUGGGUGACUGCGUACCUUUUGUAUAAUGGGUCAGCGACUUAUAUUUUGUAGCAAGGUUAACCGUAUAGGGGAGCCGUAGGGAAACCGAGUCUUAACUGGGCGAAUAGUUGCAAGGUAUAGACCCGAAACCCGGUGAUCUAGCCAUGGGCAGGUUGAAGGUUGGGUAACACUAACUGGAGGACCGAACCGACUAAUGUUGAAAAAUUAGCGGAUGACUUGUGGCUGGGGGUGAAAGGCCAAUCAAACCGGGAGAUAGCUGGUUCUCCCCGAAAGCUAUUUAGGUAGCGCCUCGUGAACUCAUCUUCGGGGGUAGAGCACUGUUUCGGCUAGGGGGCCAUCCCGGCUUACCAAACCGAUGCAAACUCCGAAUACCGAAGAAUGUUAUCACGGGAGACACACGGCGGGUGCUAACGUCCGUCGUGAAGAGGGAAACAACCCAGACCGCCAGCUAAGGUCCCAAAGUCAUGGUUAAGUGGGAAACGAUGUGGGAAGGCAUAGACAGCCAGGAUGUUGGCUUAGAAGCAGCCAUCAUUUAAAGAAAGCGUAAUAGCUCACUGGUCGAGUCGGCCUGCGCGGAAGAUGUAACGGGGCUAAACCAUGCACCGAAGCUGCGGCAGCGACGCUUAGGCGUUGUUGGGUAGGGGAGCGUUCUGUAAGCCGUUGAAGGUGGCCUGUGAGGGUUGCUGGAGGUAUCAGAAGUGCGAAUGCUGACAUAAGUAACGAUAAAGCGGGUGAAAAACCCGCUCGCCGGAAGACCAAGGGUUCCUGUCCAACGUUAAUCGGGGCAGGGUGAGUCGACCCCUAAGGCGAGGCCGAAAGGCGUAGUCGAUGGGAAACAGGUUAAUAUUCCUGUACUCGGUGUUACUGCGAAGGGGGGACGGAGAAGGCUAGGCUAGCCGGGCGACGGUUGUCCCGGUUUAAGCGUGUAGGGGGAGUGACUUGGUAAAUCCGGUUACUUAUCUAACCCUGAGGCGUGAUGACGAUGCACUACGGUGCAGAAGUAGUUGAUGCCAAGCUUCCAGGAAAAGCCUCUAAGCAUCAGGUAACAUCAAAUCGUACCCCAAACCGACACAGGUGGUCAGGUAGAGAAUACCAAGGCGCUUGAGAGAACUCGGGUGAAGGAACUAGGCAAAAUGGUGCCGUAACUUCGGGAGAAGGCACGCUGGCGCGUAGGUGAAGAGACUUGCUCUCGGAGCUGAAGCCAGUCGCAGAUACCAGCUGGCUGCAACUGUUUAAUAAAAACACAGCACUGUGCAAACACGAAAGUGGACGUAUACGGUGUGACGCCUGCCCGGUGCUGGAAGGUUAAUUGAUGGGGUCAGCCGCAAGGCGAAGCUCUUGAUCGAAGCCCCAGUAAACGGCGGCCGUAACUAUAACGGUCCUAAGGUAGCGAAAUUCCUUGUCGGGUAAGUUCCGACCUGCACGAAUGGCGUAACGAUGGCGGCGCUGUCUCCACCCGAGACUCAGUGAAAUUGAACUCGCUGUGAAGAUGCAGUGUACCCGCGGCAAGACGGAAAGACCCCGUGAACCUUUACUAUAGCUUGACACUGAACAUUGAGCCUUGAUGUGUAGGAUAGGUGGGAGGCUUUGAAGCGUGGACGCCAGUCUGCGUGGAGCCAACCUUGAAAUACCACCCUUUAAUGUUUGAUGUUCUAACUCGGCCCCGUAAUCCGGGGUGAGGACAGUGUCUGGUGGGUAGUUUGACUGGGGCGGUCUCCUCCCAAAGAGUAACGGAGGAGCACGAAGGUUAGCUAAUCACGGUCGGACAUCGUGAGGUUAGUGCAAAGGCAUAAGCUAGCUUGACUGCGAGAGUGACGGCUCGAGCAGGUACGAAAGUAGGUCUUAGUGAUCCGGUGGUUCUGAAUGGAAGGGCCAUCGCUCAACGGAUAAAAGGUACU